GUUGACAACCCUUAUGUCCCUAAUAAUGGAUGCCAAGAUAUUGAUGAGUGCAAGCAACCUGAAUUGUAUCCUUGCUCAAAUGGCGGGAUCUGCAAAAACAAGGUGGGAGGCUAUGAAUGUCAAUGCAAAUUCGGAAAGAAAGGGGACGGCAAAGGGCGAAGCUGCAGACAUGUGUUCACUCCCCAAGCAGAGGGGGCUGUCGGUAAAUGGUUCCAGC